AUUGUUUUUGUCUGAAAUUUCAGGAAGAUACAACCUCUUCCUUCCUUCAGUAAACUGCUCCUGUGGAAAAACCUUGCCAGUGACCAAAAGUGAUCUGGUUGAAAGUGGUUACUGGCCAGCCACUGUCAAUUUUGAGACCUUGUACUUGGUGGACUUGUUCACCACGUAUGAGGAUCUAAAAAUCACUGCCCCAGGGAUGUUGAGACAAGCUUUUGUCAGCAUGCUCGAGUGUCGUACAAAACUCUUCGGGCGAAGUGGUAAGAUUUGUGGGGACACAAUGCAGAGGGCCUUCCUCGAAUGGGCCUAUGCCAAAUUUGAGGUUGACAAGCUGUCUCAGGUCCAGCAUUUUCAGUGCCCUGAAUGCACACCCUCCAUGUUGGCAGUUGCAGUGGAUGGGAACCGCAAAUUAUAUCGUUUCAAAAGCCAACCGGGGUGUGUAACAUUCAUGUACAAUGAAAUGCUAGUGAGCCACAAAUUACUUUUAUACAGUAAAUUUAACCCACAUCUAUAUAUUUCUUUCGAGACCUGAUGGGUUUUUUGAUGGAGUCUUUUUGGCCAAUGAUGCUGAGGUGUCCUCCUUUGUUGAUUACAUCCAUGGAACAACUGGACAUGUAAGCUAAAUUUAUAUUUCUUCAUGUGUAACACCACAAUUUAAAAUUUUUAUGAAUGCUUGCCAGUUUUUUCCCCAAAAUGUAAACAUUAUUUGGUUUGGAUCAAAUGCCAUAAUACCAUGAUUUACAGCUUAUUUUGUCAAAUGUAACUGUGUAAAUGUCUGUAUUUGCCCUCAUCUGUUUAAG
ensembl:lncRNA